rnacentral:lncRNA from 1 species
GCUUCAAAAUCUAUGUAGUCUCUUAAGUUCCAAAUCUUUCUGCAAUUACCCUUGAAAAAAUUGAAGAUAAUGUUAGAUAAAUAGGCAGGGAUUUGGGGGGAACCUAUUAUUGGAAAUUGCCAUUAUGAAAAACUCUGUUCUUUAAUGUGGGUGGGGAAUGGAAAGCUCUGGAUAAUGUAGAAUUCUGGUAAAGAAGCAAGUGUAUUGAAGUAAUUUGACUUUGCCUUUGAGAGCUCACAGGGCCUGUCAAGACCUUAUAGUAUCUCAGCAUCACCAGCAACACUACAAACACUAAUUAUCAGUAUGCUCCAGAUGUGCUGAUGUGCUCAUUAACAGAGCCUGAGAGAAUAUGCAAUACAACAGGGUUGACUAUAUUUGCUUUUGAAAUACUGGGAGUGAAGUGAGUGUUAGGGUCCUUGGAGACAUGACAAGAAGCCCAUCAGUUUGCUAUGUAAAUUACCACAUCCACACUAAGCUGGUGAAGGUAUGUCAUGAGUUAGAACUACUGCGGAGUGAUAACUAAGACAGUGGUAAAGAGUUAGUUGGUAAUUCAUAGAGCCAUUUCCCAGGGGAGGGAAAAUGUUCUUUCUGUCCUCCCAGGCUCCAAAUAGCUUUCUGGCAGGGGAUCCAAGAGAACCCACUUGGAUUUUUACAGCACAUCACAGAAUAUCACUGCUUGUGCAUGGUCUUAAUCUAUAAAAGUUCCCCACAUUGUGAGAUUGGUUGUGUUGGAGGAGAGCCAAUGAAAACCCACACAUGAGCUGAUAAAUGAGGGAACCAGGGCAUUUGUACUGCAAUUCUUCCCCCGCUUUUCUGCAUAAGGACCCUCUUCUAUGCCAGCUGAACUUGGCCAACAUCAUUGCCUUCCUGUCUAGGCUUACGUGUCUCCUUGCUUUGUCCAUCUUAUUCCCACCACUUAAAAUGAUCUCUUACUCCAUUUCUUCUUAUUGUAAUUCACCUAAUUUCUCAAGGAAUAAUUCAUAUCCUGCUUUCAUGAAGACAUUCAGGGAUUCCCUUUCAGAAGAGUUUUUCCUUUUAUUCUAAACUCAAAGAUGUUCAUAAAACAUUUCCUGAGUACUUGCCGUGUAUCAGAAAGGCAAUGUCCUGGCUAUUGGGGAGUGUAUUAGUUUCCUAUGGCUGCCAUAACAAGUUACCAUAAAUGCAGUGGCUUAAAACAAUAGACAUUCAUACUCUCAGUUCUGGAAGCCAGAAGUUCAAAAUCAGUUUUAUUGGCUUUUAGCUCCUAAACCAAAUUAUAAGCUGCUAGACAGUAGAGGUGCUCAGAAAUCUUUGUGUCUCUCCAACAAUGACUGGCCCAGCCCAGACUCUUCCACUUGAAUAAGUGAAUAUAGGAAUAAAAUAGCAAAUUGAAAUGAUCUAGAGAAAAAGAGAUGCAUGAGCAAAUAAAUGUACUUCAAGAAUUCACCUUGGCUUACUACAUAGCCCAUUUACAUAAUAUUUUCAAAAUGACAAAAUUAUGGCUUUGGAGAACAAAUCAGUGGUUGCCAGGGAGGGGAGUGGGCGUGGCUAUAAGGGAUAGCACAAAGGCGAUUUGUGGUGAUGGAAUCCUUCUGUAUCUCAGUUGCAGUGGAGGUUAACAGUUUCAGGAAUGUGAUAACAUGACCUAGAACUACACACACGCAUUGUAUCCAUGCCAAGUUCCUGGUUUUGAUACUUUACUAUAUUUAUGUGAAUUGUAACCAUUGGAGGAAACUAGGUAAAGGAGAAGCAGAACCUCUCUCAUGUCAUUAAAACUUUCAGUAACUCUGUAGUUACUUAAAAUUUAAAACUAGUCACCCCAUUUCUCAGAAAAAUAAGCAAUGAGUGACAGAAAUAUAUAAAGCAAGGAAAAGUAAUAUUGGGAAAUUGAGGGUUAAGAAAAAGGUGAGGGUAAUGUGCUCAUAAUCAUAACUAAACUUGAGCUACAAAGUUCACUCUGAGCUUCCUAAAGUCCAAAGAAAAAUGUGGCUCUGUUAGAGUUUCUCCUUUCCCCCUGAACCAUUUCUCUAAUCCAGAGGAUAGCACCUUUAGAACCUAAGUGAAUCAAAGAGAGUUUUCUGUUAUUUUGUCUUAUAGUGAAAACACUGAGCAGUGGCUCAUAUCAGUCUUUUCUAUUCUGCAUUUGGGUCAGGGUAUAUUCAAGAGCUUGAUCUGCCCAAUUUAUGCCCUGGAUAUGAUGGUCAACAGGAAAAGCCAGGGCCCAUGAUGGAAAAACCAGCAUGGUAGAAUUUUCCAAGUGCAGUGCCUGCUGAGCUUCUUCUAAAACGUCACUGUGUAGCAGAAGAGGUUAAUAUCUUGGGAGGAAAAAUUAACUUUAAAUCACAUGAGGGGUGUUUUUUUUAUAAAUUAGUGGGCUCAGUUGGAAGUUGGGACUUAUCUUCUAUAGAAAGUCUUUUUGUCUUACUGGAAUCUGCUUGUGUGUAUAAUCACAUUAGAUAUUAUGUAUGGGCCCUACCAGGAUGUAUUAAUGAUGAGAAAUUAGAAAAUUUUGUUAAAUGUACAGAUGUAAGCAAGAUUUUGUUCUGGCUCCUGGAUAUGUGCUUGAUUAUCAGUAUAUAAAUAACUUUAAUAUCUAGACCUGAAUGGAAAGAGAGAUGCUUUGAUUACUACAAAAGCACUUCUUGGUACAAAAGUUUUAUGAGGUUCUACUCCUAGCAUGAUUGUUGCUUUGUCUUGGCAGUUGGACCAAUUAUGUUCUUUCUCUGAAUUACGAAUUUUAGCUUUGCUUUUUUCAAUGCUAGGUUUAAUUGAGAUGUAUGUGUGCUUCCAUGCAUGUCCACAAAUCCCUCACCACUGGUGUUAAGGAGUCAGUUCUUGCUUAUGUAUAUUAAUAAUGGGAGGAAAAAAUGCAGGGAAAAAUCAAGCCACUGUGGAUUUAAGAGCUCCCCUCUGGUGUCUACAAUGGUGGCUGGAAGAUGAGCCAUGUGAAAGAAGGAGAGGUUAAAGUUAGAGAGCUCAAGGGGUUCACCAAGGAAGUAACAAAUUGAUGCUGGAAGCAGACUCAUUCAAAAAGGGGUCCAGAAUUGCUAAAAGUGGCUAAUCCUUUCACUUCAGCCCACCAUGUGCCCAGAACUCUGUUAGCGAAUGGCCCUACUUUCUGGGUCAUUAGUCCAAAAGUUAGAAUGAGACUCUGCUACUUCCCCUUAGGAAUUAUUUAUAUAAUGUCAACCAAGGGUUUUAGUUACAAGAACAGCUGUCUAAUUUAAGAAGAAAGGUAAUUUAUUAAAAAAAUUAGGAAUCUCAUGGAGUCACUGGAAAGAUGGAAAGACAAAAUUUGAAGGCUGUGUAGACAGACCAUGUUGUAGAAUUGGUUCAGUGGCAGUGCUACUGUGAUUAUUGCUCAGUGCCAGAUUCCAGGCAAGUUUGCAGCCUGGCUGCCCCUAACAGGGCUAAUUGUGAGGGAGGCCGGGAAAGUGAGUUGGGCACUGCCUCAUACUAAGACUCCUACGGUGGGAGUUUCCCAGUUAUAGAAAUGGUUUCAAAUUCUGGGAAGCCAAAAAUCAAACCAACAAAAUACAAAUGAAUAUCCAGCAACUUCCCUCUGGUUUCUGAUACUCUAAAACCCUAUUGCAACAUAAUAAGGAAAUUUCCCCCCCAAAUUCAAGUCUUGUAAAACAUGGGGUGAAUUAUUGUGAAAUAAAUGAAAUAACUGGGUGAGACAGCAGAGCUAGCUGGAUGGCAGUUCUGAGAGUCUCAGUGCUUGAUUCAAUUGCGGCCAGGUCCCAGUUGCCAUAUGGUGCCAUUUGGGGCAUCUGUCAGCUCCAGUUUAAGUAUCAAAGGAAUGAUUCUGGAUUCUGCAGCUGAAAGGGGUUCCAGAACUGUUACAGUGAUUCUAAAACUCUUCUAUUUAGUUGGUUCCCAUCUAAUUGUCCUGAUCUGGAGAGAAAAACAGUGAUGCAGCCAUAUACCCUCUCUUGCUCUACUUUACAUAUGGGAUUGCUUGCUGUUUUCCUGCGCAGCUUCAUCCUCCUUCCAUAUUCCUCCUUCCUGCUACAGAAGUAGAAGAUAAUAAAUUAAGCCCACCCCAAUCUGAGAACAGAGGUUGGACAGAGACUGAGACAGUUACCGAUGGUGCUAUAUUCAAGUCUGCAUUAAGAGGAAAAUGGAGCCUUUCCCUUAAGUGAUUGUGGACCACCCCUGCAGACCAUACCUUACAACUGGCCUGGAGGAAGGAAGUGUGUGUUGAAUGAAUAACAACAGAUGGCCUUCAGACUUGAACUGAAACAUCCACUCUUUCUGGGUCUCCAGCCUGCCAGCCCAUCCUGCAGAUUUUGGACUUGCCAGUCUCCAGAAUUAUGUGAGCCAACACCUUAGCAUAAAUCUCUCUCUAUACACACACAGACACACACAGACACACACACACACACACAUCCUGUUGGUUCUGUUUGUCUGGAAAAUCCUAAUACAAAGGUAGCUAUUGGUGGUCCCGGGAAGAGGAGAAUGAACGUUGCUGAGACCCUAACAGAUUUGUGGGAUCUGAGAGUACAGGAUGCCUAUGCUCAGUUUUCCUGGUAGAGUUUUUUUUUUGUUUGUUUUGUUUUUUGCCAUUUCUUGGGCCGCUCUCAUGGCAUAUGGAGGUUCCCAGGCUAGGGGUCAAGUCGGAGCUAUAGCCUCCGGCCCACGCCAGAGCCACAGCAACGUGGAAUCUGAGCUGUGUCUGCAACCUACACUACAGCUCAUGGCAACGCUGGAUACUUAACCCACUGAGCAAGGGCAGGGAUUGAACCUGCAACCUCAUGGUUCUUAGUCGGAUUCGUUAACCACUGAGCCACGACGGGAACUCCAUUUUUUUUUAUGUUUUUAUUUUAUUUUUAGAUUUCACUAGUUUAUUUAUUUUUCUUCCAGUUUGAGAUGUAGUUGACAUAUAAUACUAUAUGAAUUUAGGUGUACAGAAUAAAGUUUUGAUACACAUAAAAUAAGUUCAGUUAACAUCCUUCACCUCCUAUUGUCAUGAAACAAAUCAUUUCUUUCUUGUGUUGAGAACUUUUAGGAUUUACUCUCUUAGCAACUUUCAAAUAUACCAUGUAGCAGAUUAACUAUAGUUCUUAUGUCAUACAUCUUCAGUACUUAUAACUGGAAGUUGUACAUUUUAACCAAAUUCAUCCAAUUUCCCCACCCAAACCCUCUGUCUCUGAACAAUCACAAGUGGUGCUCAGUGUUACUGAUCAUCAGGGAAAUGCAAAUCAAAAUGACAGUGAGAUAUCACCUCAUACAUGUUAUAAUGGCUAUUAUCAAAACUAUAAGAGAUAACAAAUGAUGAAAGGAAGAGGAGAAAGGGAAUGCUUGUGAACUGUUGGUGGAAUUAUAAUUUGGUGCAGCCACUAUGGAAAACAAUAUGGAGGUUCCUCAAAAAAUUAAAAAUACAGCUACCAUUUGAU